AUUGAACGCUGGCGGCAGGCCUAACACAUGCCAGUCGAGCGGAUGAGGGUAGCUUGCUAUCUGAUUCAGCGGCGGACGGGUGAGUAAUGCCUAGGAAUCUGCCUGGUAGUGGGGGACAACGUUUCGAAAGGAACGCUAAUACCGCAUACGUCCUACGGGAGAAAGUGGGGGAUCUUCGGACCUCACGCUAUCAGAUGAUCCUAGGUACGAUUAGCUAGUUGGUGAGGUAAAGGCUCACCAAGGCGACGAUCGUUAACUGGUCUGAGAGGAUGAUCAGUGAGACGGGAACUGAGACGCGGUCCAGACUCCGACGGUAGGCAGCAGUGGGGAAUAUUGGAAAAUGGGCGAAAGCCUGAGCCAGCCAUGCCGCGUGUGUGAAGAAGGUCGUCGGAUUGUAAAGCACUUUAAGUUGGGAGGAAGGGCAGUAAGUUAAUACCUUGCUGUUUUGACGUUACCGACAGAAUAAGCACCGGCUAACUUCGUGCCAGCCGCCGCCUAAGAC
rnacentral:rRNA from 1 species